rnacentral:misc_RNA from 1 species
AAGUCGUAACAAGGUUUCCGUAGGUGAACCUGCGGAAGGAUCAUUAUUGGUACUAUGUACUCAUGCCGCUGGUCUUUUGCAAAAGAGAGCAGCAGCUUCAAACAAAACACCCGACACAAAUUGUCUGAAAACAACAAGAGAAUACAACUUUUAACAACGGAUCUCUUGGCUCUU